ACAUUGAGAAUAUACACAUGUACUGUACUUUGACUUUGAGAGAGUAUGUGUUAUUAUUACUUGUAUCAUUUUGUUUUACAGCUGUCAGAGUUAAGUGGAGUUCCCGCUGAGUAUAUCUAUUAUUCACAGGGAAGAUCAUUUCCAGUUGAUAUAUCAUGUCUUGAUAUUGAGGAUGAGUUGUACUGGUAUUCCAUCACUUCAGACAGAUACUCAUUAAGACUAUAUGAUGGAGGUGUCCUAUAUUACAAAGACAAAAGAGAGAGAAUGAAAGAGUUAACAAAUAAAGAG
rnacentral:lncRNA from 1 species